rnacentral:rRNA from 1 species
UACGGAGGGUGCAAGCGUUGUCCGGAAUCAUUGGGCGUAAAGGGCGCGUAGGCGGCUCGGUAAGUAGGGGGUGAAAUCCUGCGGCUUAACCGCAGGGCUGCCUUCUAAACUGUCGAGCUUGAGCACGGUAGAGGCAGAUGGAAUUCCCGGUGUAGCGGUGGAAUGCGUAGAGAUCGGGAAGAACAUCAGUGGCGAAGGCGGUCUGCUGGGCCGUUGCUGACGCUGAGGCGCGACAGCGUGGGGAGCAAACAGG